rnacentral:rRNA from 1 species
GACGAACGCUGGCGGCGUGCUUAACACAUGCAAGUCGAACGGAAAGGCCUUUUCGGAGGUACUCGAGUGGCGAACGGGUGAGUAACACGUGGGUGAUCUGCCCUGCACUCUGGGAUAAGCCUGGGAAACUGGGUCUAAUACCGGAUAGGACCGCACUUUAGUGUGUGUGGUGGAAAGUUUUUUCGGUGUAGGAUGAGCCCGCGGCCUAUCAGCUUGUUGGUGGGGUAAUGGCCUACCAAGGCGGCGACGGGUAGCCGGACUGAGAGGUUGGUCGGCCACAUUGGGACUGAGAUACGGCCCAGACUCCUACGGGAGGCAGCAGUGGGGAAUAUUGCACAAUGGGCGCAAGCCUGAUGCAGCGACGCCGCGUGGGGGAUGACGGCCUUCGGGUUGUAAACUCCUUUCGCCAGGGACGAAGCGCUUUGUGACGGUACCUGGAGAAGAAGCACCGGCUAACUACGUG